UAAUACGGAAGGUGCAAGCGUUAAUCGGAAUUACUGGGCGUAAAGCGCGCGUAGGUGGUUUGUUAAGUUGGAUGUGAAAGCCCUGGGCUCAACCUAGGAACUGCAUCCAAAACUAACUCACUAGAGUACGAUAGAGGGAGGUAGAAUUCAUAGUGUAGCGGUGGAAUGCGUAGAUAUUACGAAGAAUACCAGUGGCGAAGGCGGCCUCCUGGAUCUGUACUGACACUGAGGUGCGAAAGCGUGGGUAGCGAACAGGAUUAGAUACCCUGGUAGUCCACGCCGUAAACGAUGAUAACUAGCCGUUGGAUUUAUCCAGUGGCGCAGCUAACGCGUUAAGUUAUCCGCCUGGGGAGUACGGCCGCAAGGCUAAAACUCAAAUGAAUUGACGGGGACCCGCACAAGCGGUGGAGCAUGUGGUUUAAUUCGAUGCAACGCGAAAAACCUUACCUACACUUGACAUACUUCGAAUUUUCUAGAGAUAGAUUAGUGCCUUCGGGAACGGAGAUACAGGUGCUGCAUGGCUGUCGUCAGCUCGUGUCGUGAGAUGUUGGGUUAAGUCCUAUAACGAGCGCAACCCUUACCCUUAUUUGCCAGCGGUUAGGCCGGGAACUAUAAGGGAACUGCCGGUAAUAAGCCGGAGGAAGGUGGGGACGACGUCAAGUCAUCAUGGCCCUUACGUGUAGGGCUACACACGUGCUACAAUGGGAGAUACAGACGGUUGCUAAAGCGCGAGCUGGAGCCAAUCCGACAAAGUCUCUCGUAGUCCGAAUUGCAGUCUGGAACUCGACUGCAUGAAGCCGGAAUCGCUAGUAAUCGCGGAUCAGCAUGCCGCGGUGAAUACGUUCUCGGGUCUUGUACACACCGCCCGUCACACCAUGGGAGUGCAUUGCACCAGAAGUAGAUAGCUUAACCUUCGGGAGAGCGUUUACCACGGUGUGGUCCAUGACUGGGGUGAAGUCGUA
rnacentral:rRNA from 1 species